rnacentral:rRNA from 1 species
AGUGAACGUUGGCGGCGUGGAUUAGGCAUGCAAGUCGAGCGAGAACCGUAGCAAUACGGGGACAGCGGCGAAAGGGACAGUAAUGUGUAGGUACCUACCCCGAGAUCUGGGAUAGCUGCGGGAAACUGCAGGUAAUACCGGAUAAUGUCUUCGGACCAAAGGUGUGAUUCCACCUUGGGAGGGGCCUGCAUCCUAUUAGCUUGUUGGCGGGGUAACGGCCCACCAAGGCGACGAUGGGUAGCGGGUGUGAGAGCACGACCCGCGUCAUUGGGACUGAGACACUGCCCAGACGCCUCCGGGUGGCUGCAGUCGAGGAUCUUCGGCAAUGGGCGCAAGCCUGACCGAGCGUCGCCGCGUGCGGGAUGAAGGCCUUCGGGUUGUAAACCGCUGUCGUAGAGGAGGAAAUGCAGGGGGGUUCUCCCUUCUGUUUGACCUAUUCUAGGAGGAAGGGCGGGCUAAGUUCGUGCCAGCCGCCGCCGUAA